rnacentral:rRNA from 1 species
GAUGAAUGCUGGCGGCGUGCUUAACACAUGCAAGUCGAGCCGUAACACUUCGGGUGACGAGCGGCGGACGGCUGAGUAACGCGUGGGAACAUACCCCAAAGUGAGGGAUAACCGCCCGAAAGGGUGGCUAAUACCGCAUAUGAUCUUCGGAUUAAAGGAUUUAUCCGCUUUGGGAAUGGCCUGCGUACGAUUAGAUUGUUGGUGAGGUAAAGGCUCACCAAGUCGACGAUCGUUAAUUGGUCUGAGAGGAUGACCAGUCAGACUGGAACUGAGACACGGUCCAGACUCCUACGGGAGGCAGCAGUGAGGAAUCUUCCACAAUGGGCGAAAGCCUGAUGGAGCAACGCCGCGUGCAGGAUGAAGGCCUUCGGGUCGUAAACUGCUUUUAUGAGUGAAGAAUAUGACGGUAACUCAUGAAUAAGCACCGGCUAACUACGUGCCAGCCGCCGCAGUAAGAC